rnacentral:tRNA from 1 species
GCCGUGAUGCCACAACUGGUACUGGACCGGUCUUGAAAACCGGCGCUCCGUGAAAACGGACUGGGAGUUCGAGUCUCUCUCACGGCG